rnacentral:rRNA from 1 species
AGCGAACGCUGGCGGCAGGCUUAACACAUGCAAGUCGAGCGGACCUUUCGGGGUCAGCGGCGGACGGGUGAGUAACGCGUGGGAACGUGCCUUCCGGUUCGGAAUAACCCUGGGAAACUAGGGCUAAUACCGGAUACGCCCUUAUGGGGAAAGGUUUACUGCCGGAAGAUCGGCCCGCGUCUGAUUAGCUAGUUGGUGGGGUAACGGCCUACCAAGGCGACGAUCAGUAGCUGGUCUGAGAGGAUGAUCAGCCACACUGGGACUGAGACACGGCCCAGACUCCUACGGGAGGCAGCAGUGGGGAAUAUCGGACAAUGGGCGCAAGCCUGAUCCAGCCAUGCCGCGUGAGUGAUGAAGGCCUUAGGGUUGUAAAGCUCUUUUAUCCGGGACGAUAAUGACGGUACCGGAGGAAUAAGCCCCGGCUAACUUCGUG